rnacentral:rRNA from 1 species
GCGGCUUNGCCUAAUACAUGCAAGUCGAACGAACUCUGGUAUUGAUUGGUGCUUGCAUCAUGAUUUACAUUUGAGUGAGUGGCGAACUGGUGAGUAACACGUGGGAAACCUGCCCAGAAGCGGGGGAUAACACCUGGAAACAGAUGCUAAUACCGCAUAACAACUUGGACCGCAUGGUCCGAGUUUGAAAGAUGGCUUCGGCUAUCACUUUUGGAUGGUCCCGCGGCGUAUUAGCUAGAUGGUGGGGUAACGGCUCACCAUGGCAAUGAUACGUAGCCGACCUGAGAGGGUAAUCGGCCACAUUGGGACUGAGACACGGCCCAAACUCCUACGGGAGGCAGCAGUAGGGAAUCUUCCACAAUGGACGAAAGUCUGAUGGAGCAACGCCGCGUGAGUGAAGAAGGGUUUCGGCUCGUAAAACUCUGUUGUUAAAGAAGAACAUAUCUGAGAGUAACUGUUCAGGUAUUGACGGUAUUUAACCAGAAAGCCACGGCUAACUACGUGCCAGCAGCCGCGGUAAUACGUAGGUGGCAAGCGUUGUCCGGAUUUAUUGGGCGUAAAGCGAGCGCAGGCGGUUUUUUAAGUCUGAUGUGAAAGCCUUCGGCUCAACCGAAGAAGUGCAUCGGAAACUGGGAAACUUGAGUGCAGAAGAGGACAGUGGAACUCCAUGUGUAGCGGUGAAAUGCGUAGAUAUAUGGAAGAACACCAGUGGCGAAGCGGCUGUCUGGUCUGUAACUGACGCUGAGGCUCGAAAGUAUGGGUAGCAAACAGGAUUAGAUACCCUGGUAGUCCAUACCGUAACGAUGAAUGCUAAGUGUUGGAGGGUUUCCGCCCUUCAGUGCUGCAGCUAACGCAUUAAGCAUUCCGCCUGGGGAGUACGGCCGCAAGGCUGAAACUCAANGAA